rnacentral:rRNA from 1 species
UGAGUAACCUGCCCUCCACUCUGGGAUAAGCCCGGGAAACUGGGUCUAAUACCGGAUAUGACCUCCUGUCUCAUGGCGGGUGGUGGAAAGUUUUUUCGGUGGGGGAUGGACUCGCGGCCUAUCAGCUUGUUGGUGAGGUAAUGGCUUACCAAGGCGACGACGGGUAGCCGGCCUGAGAGGGCGACCGGCCACUGGGACUGAGACACGGCCCAGACUCCUACGGGAGGCAG